rnacentral:lncRNA from 1 species
GCAUGCAGAUAUAGGAGCUUGCCUUUAAAUACCCAGGGCUUUUUGUCCACCACACAUUUCAAGUUUUGCUCCAAAGGCUUGUUCUUUACUUGGCAUUUAGGCGACCAUGCUGAAAAAGAUGACAAUCCUCUCAGCAGUGCUGGUUCUGAUGCUGGUAGAUCAACUAGAGGCACAAGGUGUCCCUGUUAGCCCAGUGCUUGAGGCAGCCAGCGUGGAGCAAAGCAGCGAUCCCAGCCCACAGCCAAGCACAGAGCUGCCCCUGGAAUACAGCGGAGACUCGCACCAGGAGAAUGGCAUGGAGCAGGCCGGGAGCAACGGAGUGCAAGAAGGUGAGCAGACCUUUUGGGAGCUGAGCGGAGAGUCAAGUGCUGAGUCUACCCCUAAGCCCAGCAUGGAGCCAAGCCAAGAACCAACCCAGGAGUCACCCACUGAAAUAUCUGAGUAAAUUUCCACAUUAAAACUUGAUGAAAAAGCAACACCUACUUACCUAUAGAGGUGAUUUCACCACCAAGAACACAUGUGUGUUGCCUGUUGCAAGCUAGAUGGCAGAGCCAUUCCCAGAACUACACCUUGCAGGAAAACUGCAACCAUAGCCUUCAGUUCCAGAACCCCAUCUAAUUCUUGCUUACUUUACCAGAUUAAUUAGACAACAGCUGACAUGUUCUGUUUUACUUGCACGAUAACCUGAAAUAAAGAAUGUCAUCGCAAGUACA